UACAGAGGUCUCAAGCGUUGUUCGGAUUCAUUGGGCGUAAAGGGGGUGUAGGUGGCGCCGUAAGUCGGGUGUGAAAUUUCGGAGCUUAACUCCGAAACUGCAUUCGAUACUGCGGUGCUUGAGGACUGGAGAGGAGACUGGAAUUCAUGGUGUAGCAGUGAAAUGCGUAGAGAUCAUGAGGAAGACCAGUGGCGAAGGCGGGUCUCUGGACAGUUCCUGACACUGAGACGCGAAAGCGUGGGGAGCAAACAGG
rnacentral:rRNA from 1 species